CCAGUCGGCUGGGCGGCCGCGGGCGCAUGCUGGAAACGGCGCGUUCGAGGAAAGUCCGGGCUCCAUGCGGCAACGGCGGCGGGUAACGCCCGCCGGGAGUGAUCCUAGGGAUAGCGCCACAGAGAAUAGUCUGCCGGAGGGCUUCGGCCCAAAGGCGAUGGUGAAACGGUGGGGUAAGAGCCCACCGCGCCGACCGUAAGGACGGCGGCACGGCAAGCCCCGCCGGGAGCAAGACCGAAUAGGGAUGCUUGAGGCCUUGAGUCUCAGCCCGCCGUAGGGCCGCAUCCGGGUAGGUCGCGAGAACCAUGCGGCGACGCAUGGUCCAGAGGAAUGGUCGCCCAUCCCGCAAGGGUGGACAGAACCCGGCUUACAGGCCGACUGGCGCU
rnacentral:RNase_P_RNA from 1 species